rnacentral:rRNA from 1 species
CCUACGGGUGGCAGCAGUGGGGAAUAUUCGGCAAUGGGGGCAACCCUGACCCAGCCAUGCCGCGUGAGUGAAGAAGGUCUUCGGAUUGUAAAGCUCUUUCGGACGUGAAGAUGAUGACGGUUACGUCCAAAGAAGCCCCGGCAAACUUCGUGCCAGAAGCCGCGGUAAUACGACGGGUGCGCGCGUGGGUCGGAAUUACUGGGCGUAAAGGGAGUGUAGGCGGUUAUGUAAGAUAGCGGUGAAAUGCCGGGGCUCAACCCCGGGACGGCCAUUAUGACUAUGUAUCUAGAGUAAUGGAGAGGAUAGCGGAAUACCCAGUGUAGAGGUGAAAUGCGUAGAUAUUGGGUAGAACACCGGUGGCGAAGGCGGCUAUCUGGCCAUUUACUGACGCUGAGGCUCGAAAGCAUGGGGAGCAAACAGGAUUAGAUACCCGUGUAGUC